rnacentral:rRNA from 1 species
CAAGUCGAACGAAACUUUUUUAUCACCGAGUGCUUGCAUUCACCGAUAAAGAGUUGAGUGGCGAACGGGUGAGUAACACGUGGGCAACCUGCCCAAAAGAGGGGGAUAACACUUGGAAACAGGUGCUAAUACCGCAUAACCAUAGUUACCGCAUGGUAACUAUGUAAAAGGUGGCUAUGCUACCGCUUUUGGAUGGGCCCGCGGUGCAUUAGCUAGUUGGUGGGGUAAAGGCUUACCAAGGCAAUGAUGCGUAGCCGAACUGAGAGGUUGAUCGGCCACAUUGGGACUGAGACACGGCCCAAACUCCUACGGGAGGCAGCAGUAGGGAAUCUUCCACAAUGGGCGAAAGCCUGAUGGAGCAACGCCGCGUGGGUGAAGAAGGUCUUCGGAUCGUAAAACCCUGUUGUUAGAGAAGAAAGUGCGUGAGAGUAACUGUUCACGUUUCGACGGUAUCUAACCAGAAAGCCACGGCUAACUACGUGCCAGCAGCCGCGGUAAUACGUAGGUGGCAAGCGUUAUCCGGAUUUAUUGGGCGUAAAGGGAACGCAGGCGGUCUUUUAAGUCUGAUGUGAAAGCCUUCGGCUUAACCGGAGUAGUGCAUUGGAAACUGGGAGACUUGAGUGCAGAAGAGGAGAGUGGAACUCCAUGUGUAGCGGUGAAAUGCGUAGAUAUAUGGAAGAACACCAGUGGCGAAAGCGGCUCUCUGGUCUGUAACUGACGCU